rnacentral:lncRNA from 1 species
ACACAAUUUAGAAGAUGAUUGCAAGGAAAUAUAAACCUAAAUUAACCGUUCCCUAAGAUCGUCGCCAAAGAAAAUGCAAAAUAAGCAAAGGGAAAAUCAGAUUUUACUCAUUAUCUUUUUGGUAUUUUUGUAAUUCUUGAGAAAUUAAGAUACUAACACAAGCUAACAUCAAUGACAACAGAAGUAAAAAGGACAUGAACAUAACACGCACAUAUGUGUAUAUAUCACAAGAACAGUAAACUCGACACUACUCAUCAGCACACAACAAUAUUUUUGAUGAAUUAUACACACACACACACACACACACUAGCAGAAUACUAAUUGACAGAAACAAAAUAUAAUAGAUCAAGUAUCUCCCAAAGUAACAAAGCCUCAACUAGUCAGAUCUCAGAACAUAUACACUAUAUUAUACAAGUACUUAAAUAGAGCAAACAGCAGGUUGCAAGUACACUUCAAAUCUGAAUAUUACAUAAGCAUCUCAAGGAACAAAUUAAUUGUUCAGAACAGUACACAAGGUUCACCUAGCAGUUUUCAGAAAUUUGCAAGAAGAGAAGAGAGAAGCAGCAACAGUUUGGGUUCAGAGAAGAACUAGGAGCAGCAGCUAGAGGCGAGGGAAGAAGAGAAAUAGUAGCAGCAAGGGUAAGAAGGAAUAGCAGCGUGGUGAGGGGAGACGGCUUCAGCAAGAGGUGCAGCAGGGGCACAUAGGAAGAAGAAGCAGCAGUAGGUCGCGUGGAAGAAGAGAAGGCAGCAGCAGGAGGUGGAGAGGAAGAAGGAGGGGGCGCGAGGCGGCGCUGGUGGAGGCGUGUGGAUGAUGGAUGGUGGUGCUGGUGGUGCGUGGUGGAGUGGUGGCAGAAGGCGAUGGUGUGGCUGGUGAAUGGAUGGCGUGCCGCUACGCCGGCCUGGCCGCGACGGCGGCCGGAGGUGGAGAAGGAGUUGGGGCAGAGGGGAGAUGGAGAUACCAGGCCUGGCGGGGAUCGGCUGCCGCUAGGGAUUUUCACCCCUCCUCAGAUCUUCCACUUUGCAAUUUUGGCCCUUCUCCUCUUCUUCUUUCUUCACAAGGUCCCUUUCUUCUUUAACUUGUCCCCUGGAGCGUCAUUUCUUCACACACAAGUCCCUCUGUCUUUCUUCUUUCUUUUCACUUGACUGGUUCUCUUAGCCACUAGUCCGGAUCUUGAAGUUUAUAGUGCCUUUGCGCACUUUUGUGCAAAAGAAACACAAUGACUAGUAAAUGAUUCAUUAUAUGAUUUUCAUGCAAAUAUUCAACUAAACUUAGCAAGAAUAGAUGGGCAUAACUCAACGAAUGGUAUAAUCCAAUGCCAAAAUUAUGUAUAUGAAAUGUGCUUAUCAAGUUCCCCCACACUUAAACUUUUGCUUGUCCUCAAGCAAAGGCAUAUGACAAGAGCAAGAUUGUGAAUAGUGAGCUGAGUAGAGAAUGCCAAGUGAAGUAGAUCUCUAAACAAUGCAUGCUUUGAACUCAGCUAGUGAAAAUUAAUGGUUAGGAGUGCUACAAAGCAAUAGGAUACUAGUAGACUCAAUCAUUUUAAAUUUUUACAAUGAUAAAAAUGGAUCAACAAAUUCAAAUGUUGAUUGUGCGAAAAGGUUCCUAAAGAGAGCAUGAUCCAAAAAAACAAAAAGAACUUAAACUUGUGAUCAGAUCACUACUAGGAACAUUGUGGUUGAACCACUUAUUGAAUUUGAAGGAAGCAAUGAUAAUAUUUUAUCGGUCUCACCAAAGGAACAUACCACCGAUCCCGAAAACAUGGUAUACACCUGGCUCGACCAAUUUUUAGUUUUUUUUGUUUGUCUCCCCAAAGGAACAUACCACCGAUCCCGAGAACAUGGUAUACACCUGGUUCGACAAUUAUAGCAUUUUUUAACAUAAUUAACUCCUAUCCGAUCCAACCAGAUUUCACAAGCCACCGAUCCAGGGAACAUGACAUGCUACUAUUAGGUAAGAUCAGAUAAAUAUUUAUUCAUUAUUACUUAUUUAAGAAAUGAAUACAAAAAGGAAACAAGAAUCAUCACUCAUCCAGGUCUGGUUCACAUACUACCGAUCCAGGGAACAUAGCAUGCUAGUCCAUAGUGGUGAGUGAUUGCUCUAAAUGGGAACACAUUAGGCACAAACUCAGCAUCUGACACUUAAUGAUCUAGGUGUAUCAAGGUAAAAACAGAAAAUGAUUAAGACUUCUAGUGUACUAGGGAUUUGAGCACUCAAAACUAGUAGCCUUCACUACUUUCAGCAAAGCAAGCAUUGUGUAGAUCACUAGUUUACAAGGCAUUCAACAAUCAAGUUCACAAGUUCACAUCAAGCACAAUAUGUCAAAGGUGAAAUUCAGUGGGACAACAUUUAAGAAGUGGCACAAGCAACCCAAAUAGCAAUUUAAUUCAGCAAGAAUCAAUGGAUGAUGAUUUCAAAAUGGGUCAUGAAACAGCUCACCGGGCUUUGAUGAUGUAGCACUCGCUCGAUCACCUCUAAACUGCAGCUCUUCUCCUUUUGCUUCCACUUGCACGCUCCAGCUUCUCUCAUCCUCAUGUACGCUCCUUGCUUAUCCUCAUCACCAUGCUCUGAAUCCACCGGGGUCCCAAGGAAUAUCACCUCGAACCUGGUCAACAUGUAGUGGAUCGUGCACAAGCAAAAACCUGAAAGAACACUCAACAAACAAGCCAAUACAAUAGAUAGGGACAACGCCCUCUAAGUCAUCAAUAGAGUAUCCUACCACAUAAGCAUAUCUAUUGAGCAUAUCAUACACAGGUAUCAUCAAUUCAUAUGGUGCAUAGGUAAUAUCAACAAUAUGACAUAACUUGUCGAGAAAGCUGAGAUAAUACCUAGGAUGAUAUGAGAUAAGUUUUAGGACUACUUUAGUGGAAGAUACUAUGGAAGGCAUGGUAGUAGAAACUUCCACCGGACUCGUGUCAACAAGUGAAAUAUUAGAGCUUGGCUUCUUGACAUCUAGAGCAACCUCAUGAUAAUCAACAAUGAAGGUUUCCAUCUCAGGCUCAAGUGUUGAGGAAUCAAUGUGACUAAUGUCAUCAAAGGUGAACUUCUCCAUGUCUGGUUCAGGAAGCACAUGAUCUAUAUCAACCAGAGGUGACUCCUCGAUAUCAAAGGUAACUAACUGUAGCUCUGGUUCAUCCACAGAAGAAUCAUCACAAUGCAAAACAGAAUCUUGAACACUAGUAUCCAUCUGCAAUGUAUGUGUCAACUAGGUUGGUGUCAUCAUCAUCAAAGAUAAUCCAUGAAAGCUCAAUCUUGUCACACAGAGCAACUAGUUCUGGCUUUUGUGUAAGACCUUCUUGCUGAGGUGAAGUGUGGUGACAGCAAACCAACAAAUCUGAGCUGGGUCUCUCACUGUACCACUGAAGUUGGUGGAAAGCUAUGCUCUCAAUCAGCAAAAAGGCAUCAUCAAGUGUCUUGUUUGUAAUAGCUCCACCCGCUGCCAUAUCGACGUAAGCUCGAGUGUCCAAAGUCAACCCUCUAUAGAAUAUCUACAGCUCUAACCAUCUCUCGAGCCCAUGAUUAGGACAUCUCCUGAAUAAGGUUUUGUAUCUCUUCCAAGCAUCAUACAAGCUCUCACCUUCACGCUGGACGAAAUUGAAGAUCUCAUCUCGAAUUGCAGACUGCUUGUGUAGUGGGAAAUAUUUAUCCAAGAAAGCUCGUGAUAUCUCGUUCCAACCAAGUGAUCUUGAUGGCAAGGAUCGAUACCAAGCACGAGCAUCAUCUCGGAGACAGAAUGUGAAUAGCAUGCACUUGAUAACAUCUUGAGGAACUCCAUGGUACUUUACUGUAUCUGAAUACUCCAGGACUCGGAGCAAGUGCUCGUAAGGAUCUUCAGUAGGCAACCCUCCAAACUGAUGUUGUUGAACCAAAGCAAUAAGACCAGGCUUUAGCUCAAAAUUUUCCGACUCAAAAGACGGACAAAGUGGCCCUGUGAAAUAGCAUUGGCUGCUUGGCAUCCAAACAUCACGAAGCAUCGCCAUAUCUCCACCAAGUGUAACUAUCAAUCAACCUGCAAAUAGAUCAGAUUUCCUACGCACACUCAUAAACAGUAAAUACUAGUCAGAAUGUUAGUAUCCUAAUAAGCCGAAGCAACAACAAGGAAAAAAUAUAAAAGAAACACAGAAAAAGAAAUACACGAUGAAUUAAACACAAAACUAAAAUAAACCUAAUCUAUAGCUAACAUAAUUGCUUGAUGCUAGUCCCCGGCAACGGUGCCAAAAUGAUCAAUUGUAAGUAUAGUGGGAUAUUUCGCCCGAACUGCGAGUGUCGUGUUCUCCACAGGGACUAGGCGAUCAGCGACUAUAUUCGACUAAAGCUAGGUAACACAAUUUAGAAGAUGAUUGCAAGGAAAUAUAAACCUAAAUUAACCAUUCCCUAAGAUCGUCGCCAAAGAAAAUGCAAAAUAAGCAAAGGGAAAAUCAGAUUUUACUCAUUAUCUUUUUGGUAUUUUUGUAAUUCUUGAGAAAUUAAGAUACUAACACAAGCUAACAUCAAUGACAACAGAAGUAAAAAGUAUGUGUAUAUAUCACAAGAAUAGUAAACUCGACACUACUCAUCAGCACACAACAAUAUUUUUGAUGAAUUACACACACACACACUAGCAGAAUACUAAUUGACAGAAACAAAAUAUAAUAGAUCAAGUAUCUCCCAAAGUAACAAAGCCUCAACUAGUCAGAUCUCAGAACAUAUACACUAUAUUAUACAAGUACUUAAAUAGAGCAAACAGUAGGUUGCAAGUACACUUCAAAUCUGAAUAUUCCAUAAGCAUCUCAAGGCACAAAUUAAUUGUUCAGAACAGUACACAAGGUUCACCUAGCAGUUUUCAGAAAUUUGCAAGAAGAGAAGAGAGAAGCAACAGCAGUUUGGGUUCAGAGAAGAACUAGGAGCAGCAGCUAGAGGCGAGGGAAGAAGAGAAAUAGUAGCAGCAAGGGGAAGAAGAAGGAACAACAGCGUGGUGAGGGGAGAGGGCUUCAGCAAGAGGUGCAGCAGGGGCGCAUAGGAAGAAGAAGAAGCAGUAGGUCGCGUGGAAGAAGAGAAGGCAACGGGCAGGAGGUGGAGAGGAAGAAGGAGGGGCGCGCGAGGCGGCGCUGGUGGAGGCGUGUGGAUGAUGGAUGGUGGUGCUGGUGGUGCGUGGUGGAGUGGUGGCAGAAGUCGAUGGUGGUGCUGGUGAAUGGAUGGCGUGCCGCUACGCCGGCCUGGCCGCGACGGUGACCGGAGGUGAAGGAGUUGGGGCAGAGGGGAGAUGGAGAUACCAGGCCUGGCGGGGAUCGGC